rnacentral:rRNA from 1 species
GACGAACGCUGGCGGCGUGCUUAACACAUGCAAGUCGAACGCUGAAGCCCUUUCGGGGGUGGAUGAGUGGCGAACGGGUGAGUAACACGUGGGUAAUCUGCCCUGCACUCUGGGAUAAGCCUUGGAAACGGGGUCUAAUACCGGAUAGGACACAUCGCCGCAUGGUGUGUGUGUGGAAAGUUCCGGCGGUGCAGGUUGAGCCCGCGGCCUAUCAGCUUGUUGGUGGGGUGAUGGCCUACCAAGGCGACGACGGGUAGCCGGCCUGAGAGGGUGACCGGCCACACUGGGACUGAGACACGGCCCAGACUACGACGGGAGGCAGCAGUGGGGAAUCUUGCGCAAUGGGCGAAAGCCUGACGCAGCAACGCCGCGUGGGGGAUGACGGCCUUCGGGUUGUAAACCUCUUUCGACCGGGACGAAGGGUGACUGACGGUACCGGUAGAAGAAGCACCGGCUAACUACGUGCCAGCCGCCGCGGUAA